ACUUUAAGUACAGCAAAUCAUGCCUCAAGAAAAAUUCAGGCAAAAAAUACAGCUGAGGUUUUAGUUACACGGAACAUCCAAACAACCCUUUUCGACACGGACAAAAAUGUGCCAAUAAAUGAUGUUAACUACAGUUAUGGAAUAUUUGCUGCCGGUUUUAUUGUUGUGUUACUAGUAUCUAUAGGUAGCAAUAUUUGCAUUGGUAAAUAUAGAUAUAGGGCAACACGCACAAAAGUGGAUCAACACAAAAUUAAUAUC